GACAGAGGGUGCGAACGUUGCUCGGAAUCAUUGGGCGUAAAGCGCGUGUAGGCGGCAUGGCACGUCGGGUGUGAAAGCCCGGGGCUCAACCCCGGCAGUGCACCCGAAACGACGAUGCUAGAGUGCUGGAGAGGCGGGUGGAAUUCCUGGUGUAGAGGUGAAAUGCGUAGAUAUCUGGAGGAACACCGGUGGCGAAGGCGACAUCCUGGACCGGUAUUGACGCUGAGGCGCGAAAGCCAGGGGAGCAAACGGG
rnacentral:rRNA from 1 species